rnacentral:lncRNA from 10 species
GUGGAUGUCCUUUCUGUUUGUUAGUUUUCCUUCUAACAGAGAGGACCCUCAGCUGCAGGUCUGUUGGAAUACCCUGCCUUGUGAGGUGUCAGUGUGCCCCUGCUGGGGGGUGCCUCCCAGUUAGGCUGCCUGGGGGUCAGGGGUCAGGGACCCACUUGAGGAGGCAGUCUGCUGGUUCUCAGAUCUCCAGCUGCAUGCUGGGAGAACCAGUGCUCUCUUCAAAGCUGUCAGACAGGGACAUUUAAGUCUGCAGAGGUUACUGCUGUCUUUUUGUCUGUGCCCCGCCCCCAGAGGUGGAGCCUACAGAGGCAGGCAGGACUCCUUGAGCUGUGGUGGGCUCCACCCAGUUCGAGCUUCCAGGCUGCUUUGUUUACCUAAUCAAGCCUGGGCAAUGGCAGGCGCCCCUCCCCCAGCCUCGCUGCCGCCUUGCAGUUUGAUCUCAGACUGCUGUGCUAGCAAUCAGCGCGACUCUGUGGGCGUAGGACCCUCCAAGCCAGGUGCCGGAUAUAAUCUCGUCGUGCGCCGUUUUUUAAGCCCGUCGUAAAAGCGCAGUAUUCGGGUGGGAGUGACCCGAUUUUCCAGGUGCCGUCCGUCACCCCUUUCUUUGACUCAAAAAGGGAACUGGCUGACCCCUUGCGCUUCCCAAGUGAGGCAAUGCCUCGCCCUGCUUAGGCUCGCGCACGGUGCAGGCACCCACUGACCUGCGCCAACUGUCUGGCACUCCCUAGUGAGAUGAACCUGGUACCUCAGAUGGAAAUGCAGAAAUCACCUGUCUUCUGCGUCGCUCACGCUGGGAGCCGUAGACCGGAGCUGUUCCUAUUCGGCCAUCUUGGCUCCUCCACCCGGAUGAUUUUUCUUACUUUCUAUAGUCCUCAUUCUAUAACUUUUGAUCCAAAUUAUUCCAGAGAUUGGAUUAAAAACAAAUGGAUGUGGCAUACAGGGAGCAUCUCAAAUCAUUCAUUCUCACCAGCAGGUCUCAUGUGCUCCGAAACCAACUUGAAGCACUCUCCUUCUUCCUCUAGCAUGGUGACUGGAUUCCAAGGGAAACUGUAUCAAGAAAAACAGCACCAAAAAAAGUCAUGUCACCUUUCCUGACCAGUGAUGCAGCUUCCAUUCUACCACAUUCCAUUCAUCAAGAAUGUGAUGGUUGGAGCUGUUGUAGCUGUAUUACAACCAGGAGGAAAGACUUUGCUGACGUACUAAGGAUGGAAACUAAAAAAAGUUCUUUAGAUCAAGAGGAACUACUUGAAGAGCAGCACUCAACAAAUCUGCACAUCGACCUGGUUUAAAUGCUAAGAUCCUGCCCUUGUAGAUUCGAUGCCAUAAUGAUGAGACUUUCACAAGGUCAAGGGAGAAGUGUGAAAGAGGACUAAUACGUUCCCCAUCAAGCCUCCAGAUGAGAACCCUGUCCUGACCAACAUUUUGAUUGCAGCUUUGCAGAGGACCGAGAUAAACCAUAACUAGACUCCUCACCCAUAGACACUGUGAGAUAAUAAAUGUGUGGUGUUUUAUACUGCUAUAUUUGUAUGCAACUCUGAAAAUUAAUACGUGCUUAACUUUCAUUUAAACUAUGAAAUAUAUUUGAUAAAAAAUAAUAUAUUCAUGUUUUGACAGAAUAAAUAUCUGCAAAAUAACAUAAGUAUUUUUUAUUUUAAUAAAUAGAGUUUUCAUUUCUGGAAUUUAUGUUUUAUUCUGUUUUGAAUAUGUUUGGUCACUUUUAUCACCUAUUGUGUGUGCUCAUAUUUUUAAUCCCUCCAUUUAUUUAUUUAAGAGGUACUUGUUUUAAACUGUGUCUAUUAAAUUCAAUAUUUCACGUUAUU